ensembl:lncRNA novel transcript
GUGACCCGAUAAUAGUGAGUUACCCCUUGUGAACCUUAACUGGGGCAUCUGCAACAUGGGCAUAUUGAUACAUACCUGGCUGAACUGUUGUGGGAAGAAAAUGUAUAAUGCUUAAACCUAUGUGAAGUGUCUAACAUGUAAUGCUACAACAAAUAUAUGUAUUGGCUUUCCCUGUGUUUUCUCUUCCACAAAAGACGUAGUUUACAUGAACAUCUCCUAGAGGUCAAUUAGAGUUGAAGCAGCAGGAAAUAAAAUGUUUACAUAUUUCUAUGAGAGAAAAGCUUUUCUGUCUUUUCUUUGUAGAAGUUACCUGAUGCAUGGAGUGGAGGAGAAAGAAAAUAAUUUCAUUAUUUUUUAUUUGAUGUCCUUUUCUAACAUCUUCAUUUACCUUCUAUUUGGACAUUGGAAUAGCAACCUCUCAUUGAGCCUCAGAAAGGAGACAGCACAGAAUGACAGACCAUGAAGAUGGGUCUGCUGGGAAACAGAUGAUAUCAGGAGAGCUGGGUCCCAAAUACCAGAUCUGUCCUUAUGUACAGAACCAUGGGGAGUCACUUCUCUCCUGGCCUCAACCCUUUCACAGGAAAAGAUUUUAUUUCCCAAUAGUGGGGAGGUGUGGCUUUGGAGUCAGAUAGAGUGGGUAGAAUAUUUGGGCACAAUUAAUAACUAGUUUAAUGAUCUUUAGCAAAUGUUAGGUCUGCAGAUAAAUGAAAUCCAUGUGUAAUGCAUAUACAUUAAAUAUGUCUGCAUAGAGAAUCAAAUGGGAGGUAAUUCACAAAAAUGAUACAUUUUAAAAAAUCAGCCGUGGGGUUAUUGAUUAAUUUAUCCUGGAGCUCAUUAUGUUUCCUAAAAUUUCACAUUAGUAGGGAUCUCUUUUGAAUUCAGAAUCAAAUAUAGAAACAGUAGUUUUUAUUAAAUAUUUCAGAAAUACACAAAAUUAUAGAAUAUAAGAAACUUCUAUGUUAACAUAAAACAUAUGCAAUUAAAAUUCACUUUGAAGUGUUCUCUAACUAAUUAGUUUCCUUCUUCCUCACAGGUAACCACUAUGCAAAAUUUGGGGUUUACAUUUUUAAGACAUUUCUCUAUAUUUUUAUUACAUUUGUAUAGAUCUACACAUGAAAUAUGGUAUUUUUAAUGGUAUGAUUUUGUUAACUGAAAUAUCACCAAUUUAUAGAUUUUAAAAAGGAUAGCUUUAUUUCUUAUAAAAGGUUACAGCCUGCAGAGUGGCCAUUCUGAUGGGCUGAGAAUGUAGCCGUUGGAAGAAGCCCAGAAGCAGGCACUUUGAGGGAGUGAGAGGUAAGACAGGAAUUUAAGCUGAAGGGGUUGGACAAAGAUACAUACUCAACACGUUAUAGGAGGAGCUAUGAAUAUUAAUGAAGGGGGUCCUGGCACAUGGGUACUGAACAAACAUGUAUGUUAUACAUAUGGACCAGGUUCACCUUGGGGUGGAGACUUCACAUUUAAAUGUAUUACAAUUAGGCCCUAUACGUUAAAAGAACUUUUCAGAACACAAAGGCACUCAAGUCCUGCCCUCUUUAAACUGGCCAGAACCGGUCCAUGGUUGGUGAUCUUCUAAUCAGAAUAAAGUUACCAAAAUCAGUCUCUUGUCCAAUCAAAACUGUAGCUAUUGCUGGUGGAACAGGGGCUGGGGAUCAGCAUCUAGUGGUGGAUGAGCUGCAAGUUGUUUUAAUAUUGCUUAUCUUGAGGCCAGUACUUGUUUAGCUGCUGGAGAAAAAUGCAAAGGAAAGCUUGUGUCAAUUAGAACACAGUUUAUUCUUUAAGUGUAGAGUGUGUGACUUAACCCUUGCCUGGCAUGGCCUUAGGUCUUAUUUAUAAUUUGAUAUCUUAUUGCCACAAAGAGUCUGUUCUGCCAGUCUUAUGAUCUCUAUUUUAACAUUAAUGCUGGUCAAUUGUCGUAUCUAAACCACAAAAGGGAGGGAGCAUAACAAGUUCUAUCUGACCCCACUUCCUGUCAUGCCCAGGAACUCAGUUUUAAGGAUUUUGGGGGGUCCUCUUGGCCAUGAGGUUUGUUCAGUCGGUUGGGGGGCUUAAGGUUUUACUUUUAAUUUACAUUUUUAUCUCUAAAUGCAUGAAUACCUCAUGGAAUAAGAGGAAGGAAGAAACAUAAGGAGAACAAAUACAUGUUCAGAUUUCAACAGUGGGAUUUGCCAUAUAUGCCUACAUGUCAUGUAUACUCUCUUUCCAACUUGCCAAAACAGACAGGCUCAUUUACCCAGUUUAUAUGCUUAGGGAGCAUUAAUAAAAUCUGCAGAUAUUAUUUUCAAGCCCACUUUUUUUCCUGAUGUAUUCAAACACCUAGAGUUUCCCUGGAGUGAACUAGCCUAAAACAAUGACUUAGUGUAUUCUUUCAUGAAACACCUUCUAUUUGUCCAGACUACUUGUACUUAACUCAAACUGUAACUCAUGUGGGGUUACCCUGUACAUCUGGAACCUAAUCUGGGCCAAGCUGAUGAAAGAAGACAGUGAUUCCCUGCAGUUAGUUUUCAUAUGUCCAAACUACUAUCGAAAUCCCUUGAUUGGUUUAAGGAUGCAUCUCAUUUAGAACCUGAUCUAAUUUUGUUUGACGGUUGUUAUGACAUGAGUACACUUUUCCAUUUCAUUUAUUAUUUUUUAAUUGCACAAGAAACACACUUCAGAGGUGUUUGAGUUCACAUGUGUUACUUGAUGUUGUGGACAGAGGCCAUAGUGCAGUGGGAUAGUCAGUGGAAAGUGGAGAAUAUUAACAGGGAAUGUAGAAAACUCUUUAUGGAACUUUGAAUGUAAAGAAAAAGAAACCAAGAAAGAGGAGGAGACAAAGAGAGAAAGAAAGAGAGCAAUAAAGAGAGACAGAAGAGAUAUCUCCAUCAUGUGGCUGCAAUGGAUGCUGGUAAGUCCAACGAAUGACAUUUGAAAAUCUUAAAUUACUUGAAACUUGAUCAAGUUUAAAAUUAUUGGGCAGUAGAAAAAUUCAAAAGAAAAAAUAAUGGGAAGGAGCCAUCUCAUCUCAAUUUAACAUUUGAAGUUGCCCAUAUAUUCAUAUCUUUUCUUACCCUCUCAUUUCCACUUUAGAGCUAAUGAGAUGCCUCCACCGGGACAGCAUGAAAUCUGAGCUCAAUAAACAUUUAGUUAUUACCUAACAAAAGAAUAGACAAUUAUGUGUAAAAAAUUCUGCUAACUAUUGGAUUUGUGCCUCUCCAGAAGGCAGCAGGUGGCUGAAAUCCUGGUGUGAUGUGGCUGGAUAAUACAUGGCCUGAGGACUCCUGCAUUGAUGACUGCAGGAUGGGUCCAGAAUUUUCCUAUACAUAAAUUAAAAUACUAAGCAGUCCAGAAGGAGCCAUUAGCAGACAUCACACUUUGCUUACUUUGCUAUCUAUCACUGAGAUCACCAGACCCUUCUUGAUAGAGUUCGAUAAUGGUGGUACCGUGGUGCCCUCUCGUGACAGAAGGCUGAACUACAGCUAGAACAUCGCGAGCAGGAAGGUGGGAGGGAGAGGCUGUGGCCCAAGCCCACCUUACAGAGCUUUCUGGAACUCUGGGUGGCAAAGCGGACAUUCUCAGUAUUCCCAGGGACAUUGAUGGGCUCAAGACAGAAAUCGUUAUCUCUUACUGUGCUGAAAAGAGAGUUCUAUAUCAGAAGAAAAAGGUCAUUUUAAUUUUUAUUCUUUGACCACUGGAAAAUCAGAGACCUAAAUGAGGGAAAAAUGGAUCCAGACUACU